UACGAAGGGGGCAAGCGUUGUUCGGAAUUACUGGGCGUAAAGGGCGCGCAGGCGGCCGAUCAAGUCAGAUGUGAAAGCCCCGGGCUCAACCUGGGAAUAGCAUUUGGGACUGGUCGGCUAGAGUUCGGGAGAGGAGAGUGGAAUUCCCAGUGUAGAGGUGAAAUUCGUAGAUAUUGGGAAGAACACCGGUGGCGAAGGCGGCUCUCUGGACCGAUACUGACGCUGAGGCGCGAAAGCGUGGGGAGCAAACAGGG
rnacentral:rRNA from 1 species